AGCGUAUCUAGUCUAUGUAUAUCUAUGGUCGGCACGUCUGGCAGCAUCUCUGGCUGCUGUUGAUCUUGUUUUUGAAGUAAAACACGGUGGAAGCUGAAUUAGUGAGGAUGACUCCUGCUCCUGUCAUCUCUAAGCUCCUCACACAUCUUUACCUGCACAUGAGGAAAAUCACUCCUGUAGAAUGCAGAUGUUCAGAGGGAGAUGAUGCCACAUCUGGUCCAGCUGAUGGAAGGUCUUGAAGUUCUCUGACUGGCCUCGACUGAAGAUGGUCGUCUCACUGGAUUUAAGGUUCAGAUGCUCAGUAACAAACUCCACCAAUGAGCCAACAGGGAAGCUUUAGGUUUAUUAAAUGUUGCUAUGAAGGUUUCGCUGUUUUUCUUUGUGAAUGCAAUGAGCUCCAACUGAAACUUGAAUUAGAACUUAGAAGUAAAUCCUUCCAUCUGAAAGGAUUUAGUUGGAUUAAUAACCUCAUAACAUUCUAAUUUUUAUUCCAGUCUUGGUUGGAAAUAGAAUCUCUGUAUUGAUUCAGGUAAAAACUGAACUUCACAGCAUGUUGGAGCAAAACAACCAGAUGAAAACUGUGAUGGUGUUGGAUUGUCAGACCGUAAUGUUGCAGCUCAAAGCAGCUUUUCUAUCUCAGUUCAUUCUGACAUUCAGCUAUGAAUCAACACAGCAGAUGGUGAUCCAUGCUGUGGAAGUCUCACAUCUCCUGAUUUAAUGGAGCUGCUUUGCACUUUUUACACUGUUUAUUCACCAACACUUUAUUUAAUAAAAGUCCCAUCUAGUUUUUAUGAGGAAUGUGAUGUUUUAAUUUCUCUGUGAAUAACUGCAGUCUAAUGCAACAGCUGGAGUUGUAACAUCUGUCCUGAUAUUGAUCAUGAAGUAUUGAUCAGAAUACUUAUGGUUAGCAGUCAUCCCUGAAGUUUUACAUUAAAAUCUUUACUUGUGUUGUGAACUUUGGUAAGAAGCAGAAACAUUAGCGUUGCCAUGGAUACGUGAGUGUUAAAUUCUGUCCAUGUUUCAAUUUUGGGAAAUGCAGUCCAGUUCCAGAAUGUGGAGGAAUUUAGUCUCACAAUCACAGACAACAAAUAUUAUCUGAAAGUCGGGUUAUUGUUGUUUAUCAGCACAAUACAAAGAUUGUUAGAAAUAUUCCAGUGAAGACUCUGGAAUAUCAUGAUUUAUGUAAAUUUACCUCAAUAAUAUGAAUGUUCAGGUUAAGAUUGUGCAGUGAUAUUUAUUAUGUAAGUUUAGCUGAUUAAAGUUUAUGAC
ensembl:lncRNA